UUCGUAUGAGUUUAAUUAUUUUUGAUGUAUUCGCUUAAUAUUGGUUAUUUUCUACCCAAAAAAAAGAAAUUUAUUACUUCAAGCCUUAUCCUAUUGAUGUAUCAAUUGUUUGACAUACCAAUAUAUUGAAUAAAUUGAAUGCAUAGUGGCAUACAUGUCAAAUAAGCUAAUCAAAUAUGACUGGCAAACCAUUUUUAUUUUUGCUUGUCCCAACACAGUCAAUAAGCUAAUCAAGAUUCAGCUCAGCACCACCUUUUUUUCACACAACUGGACCCGUUUCAUUGGAUUCUACUUUGAAAUUUCACGGUGAAAGUUCAUUGCGAGGAACCCCCAAUCACGUUCCAGUUCUUUCAAUUUGAUUAACAGUGGAGAAGAAGGUCAAAUCGAGAGAUGGGUUUCUUGUUUGAGCGUGAUUUAUUUGAUUCUGUUUGAAGUUGGAGCUGCUUCGAAUUGGUAUGUUCAGUUUGUUGAAAGCUUUAGACCUUUCUGUGGAUUGGGAAAGUGUUCUCUUGUUACUCCAUUGGCUAAUUUCGGGCGUUUGGUCUGGUAAUGUUAAGCACCAUGUAAUUGCAGUGAAACUGUUUGAUUUUAUUCCUGUAUGGGGAAUAUUCGCUUGAAAGUUCGAGCUUAUACCGUUGCACGACUGUUCUGCAUGCGUGUCCGGGCUCUGGUAUGUACAUAAAAGGCAGUCUCUCCAUGUUUGAGCUAAUAACGGAGACUGGCCUUUCUACUACUUUGGAAAUGGUGGAAGCACAUUAUAACAAAUUUAUCAAAUUAUUAUUCAUUUUAUUAUUAAACGAAUCAAUUUGCCGAAUAGAAAAAUGGAUAAAAAUAUCGUAGAGGUCGUACUAGGAAUUAGAUUGUAUGUUAGAUCAAAGAGUAAACUGGUUCUUAAAAGUUUUAUCUAUUUCUACUGUAAAAAAACAUAGUCUAUGUAUGUUGAUAUGAGAAACACGUGACACUCUAAGUAUAUUUGUUCGAUUAUUCUGUAAGUCGCACCUGUUUUCAAUAGUAGAAACGGAUGCAAAUUUUAAUUAAAGGGACUAAUUUGCUCUUUUAUUUAACAUACAAGGAUUAGUUUAUUCAUUUUUUGAGUAAAUGGGGUAAAUAACAAUUUGACUCCUAAU
rnacentral:lncRNA from 1 species